GCCUUCGUAGCUCAGUUGGUAGAGCGUUGUCUUGGUAGGCCUUCUUUCUUUAGAAAAGAAAGAACCCCUGGGAAGAAAGAAACUAUAAUAGGGAGGGUCCAAUGAGGCAAAGGUCCCGAGUUCGAAUCUCGGCGGAGGCU
rnacentral:tRNA from 1 species